GGUGACUUUGCAAGGAAUAUGGUGGACAGCGGAAGAGGAAUCGAAGCAAUGUACUGCUUCGGGUUACAGUCCGGCAUGAACCCUGCAAUACUACUUACGCAAAACAACUCCACUAUUCGGCGUAGACAGGGCUGCUGUAUAUCCUCAUCGAGCGAUGCGUCAAUUCCAGCAAUUCUGCUUACGACGUUGUUCCAACCACCCUGUAGCAAAUGUUCUUCAACCUCAUCAACGGCUUUUCGGGUCACCACAGAUAACUCACGUCGAUUACAGCCGUGUCAAAAGCGUUUACUUGCUAACCCACAGUUGUUCCACCAGGAACCGUUAUUGGUGUAACGGUACUGUAUGGGAUGGUUUCUGUACAUACGAGAAUGCGCUGCUCCAUUCCUCAUUUCGAGCCACAAGAGUUGAGUGCUUUACCGAAGGUGUGCUCCUUUCGGGCGACAAGGCGAGGACUGCUCACUAGAUGGGCUCUCGGUUGAACGGCGUAUCACAUUUGUGUCACCCCAAAUGAGAACUCUUGUUCCACCUCCGAGAUACGUCAAAUUUUUCUGGCUGCAAAUGGUGGUUCGUGUACCAAUACGGCAGCGCCCGUCCAUUUCUGCACGUGCUCGAGGUCAAGAACAGGAAGUGUCGCCAAUUUAAAAAUUGUCUUUUGAAGGGACAGUCGCGAGUCUCAUAUGGGAGAUAUAGCCCCCAGAAGCAACCCAAGGCCGCAGAACGUCUUCGUACGGGGUUUUCUGAGCUGAUCAGCUUUAGGUCUCGCGCAGUUCCUUGUGGUGUGGGAGAUAGGUUAUGUACUCGCCAGUCUGCCGUUCUUGUGCAACCUGCGCGUUGACUUUUCCAGCUCAUUUUUUAUGUUUCGCAGGUCACAUCUGGGUCUGUCAGGAAAAGGAACUGGUAAACUCCAUCGGCCAUGCUGUUGCUCUAUAACCGUCUGUACGGGCUAAAUUCCACGACAUAUGCCUCCAACUUCUGGGAGAAUACAUAACCGUGUUACCGGCUGUCAGCUCGGCAAUGCUGUGCAGGUAUUGAAUCGGUGCGGAUUGACGACGCCUCUGUCUUGGCAUGUUCACCUUCGAAACGGAAGAGGAAUGAAACAUCGUUAUGUUGUAUCAACAAGCGUUCACAGAGGAUCACAAGUGGCACAACUACACGUGAGAUGAGGGUGUAACGCCACUUGACUGGUAGUACUACACUCGGUAGCAGACGCCAGAGGGCGACGAGCAUAACUACAAAGCCUAUAUUCUUCGUACCACCCUUCUGGAACGGUAGUUCGCGAUUGUGUUCUAGUUAAUGCUCUCACGAAAUGCAAUGCACUCAUUUGACUGAAACUGGCUUGACAUCUAAACAAACGCUUCCUGAGAUUUGACGCCUGAGUAAUAUCUGGUGACCACAUUCCUAGCGCGGUUUGCUUCAGUCCUGUGAAUAUCACACUUUAUCAAGAACGCGUGUGUCUUUUGAUUAUCCUGACUUCUAACAAAUGACUCAACCGCGCAGGUUUAUACAUUUUUCGUAAUGUGGGGCGAUGGUUCACGGUGCAUGCGCAUAAUGUAUUCAUAACAUCGUUCUAACAGUCCGAUGUUGUAAAUAUGCUCUGUGUUUCCCUCUUUUGCGAAAUGAGCCCAGUUUCACACCUUCUGAACUACGUGUAGACUCUUACGGGCGGUCAGCAUGCAAUGAUUAGGCGCCAGUUGCUUGUGAUAUGGUCAAACUGGA
rnacentral:lncRNA from 1 species